rnacentral:rRNA from 1 species
GACGAACGCUGGCGGCGUGCUUAACACAUGCAAGUCGAACGGAAAGGCUCCAGCUUGCUGGCGUACUCGAGUGGCGAACGGGUGAGUAACACGUGGGUAAUCUGCCCUGCACUCUGGGAUAAGCCUGGGAAACUGGGUCUAAUACUGGAUAUGACCUUUCUCCUUAUGGGGUUUGGUGGAAAGUUUUUCGGUGUAGGAUGAGCCCGCGGCCUAUCAGCUUGUUGGUGGGGUGAUGGCCUACCAAGGCGACGACGGGUAGCCGGCCUGAGGGGGUGAUCGGCCACAUUGGGACUGAGAUACGGCCCAGACUCCUACGGGAGGCAGCAGUGGGGAAUAUUGCACAAUGGGCGGAAGCCUGAUGCAGCGACGCCGCGUGAGGGAUGACGGCCUUCGGGUUGUAAACCUCUUUCAGCAGGGACGAAGCGUAAGUGACGGUACCUGCAGAAGAAGCACCGGCUAACUAUGUG